AGCCUCUGGUGCUGAGCACGGAUGUGCUCGCAGUCACCGUAUGGAAAGAGGAGGGACAGCAAGCUUGUCCACAUACACCUCAGCCCAGGCCCUGUGCCUGGCCUCAAUUGCGAAUGGGAAGACAUGG
rnacentral:snoRNA from 1 species